UUCCUAAUUAUGUUCUAUCAUUUUUUUUUUGCAGGAUAAGAUGAAUGAAGAAUAUUGUCGAAGAAUCAAAUCUGGGGACAUGAAUAAGAAUAACAUGAACUUUCCUGAGAUUUUAUGAAAUGUGAGAUUGAAAUGGUUAUUUCUAUAUGUAUAGAUUUAUUUAUUAAUUUGAUUAAAAUAAAUUUAUUUAAAAUA